GAUGAACGCUGGCGGCGUGCCUAAUACAUGCAAGUCGAGCGAAUGGAUUAAGAGCUUGCUCUUAUGAAGUUAGCGGCGGACGGGCGAGUAACACGUGGGUAACCUGCCCAUCAGACUGGGAUAACUCCGGGAAACCGGGGCCAAUACCGGAUAACAUUUUGAACCGCAUGGUUCGAAAUUGAAGGGCCGCUGCGGCUGUCACUUAUGGAUGGACCCGCGUCGCAUUAGCUAGUUGGUGAGGUAACGGCUCACCAAGGCAACGAUGCGUAGCCGACCUGAGAGGGUGAUCGGCCACACUGGGACUGAGACACGGCCCAGACUCCUACGGGAGGCAGCAGUAGGGAAUCUUCCGCAAUGGACGAAAGUCUGACGGAGCAACGCCGCGUGAGUGAUGAAGGCUUUCGGGUCGUAAAACUCUGUUGUUAGGGAAGAACAAGUGCUAGUUGAAUAAGCCGGCACCUUGACGGUACCUAACCAGAAAGCCACGGCUAACUACGUGCCAGCCGCCGCCGUAA
rnacentral:rRNA from 1 species